rnacentral:rRNA from 1 species
GACGAACGCUGGCGGCGUGCUUAACACAUGCAAGUCGAACGGAAAGGCCCUGCUUUUGUGGGGUGCUCGAGUGGCGAACGGGUGAGUAACACGUGAGUAACCUGCCCUUGACUUUGGGAUAACUUCAGGAAACUGGGGCUAAUACCGGAUAGGAGCUCCUGCUGCAUGGUGGGGGUUGGAAAGUUUCGGCGGUUGGGGAUGGACUCGCGGCUUAUCAGCUUGUUGGUGGGGUAGUGGCUUACCAAGGCUUUGACGGGUAGCCGGCCUGAGAGGGUGACCGGCCACAUUGGGACUGAGAUACGGCCCAGACACCAACGGGAGGCAGCAGUGGGGAAUAUUGCACAAUGGGCGGAAGCCUGAUGCAGCAACGCCGCGUGCGGGAUGACGGCCUUCGGGUUGUAACCCGCUUUCGCCUGUGACGAAGCGUGAGUGACGGUAAUGGGUAAAGAAGCACCGGCUAACUACGUG